GUGCUCACUUCGGCAGCACAUAUACUAAAAUUGGAGUGAUACACAGAAGACUAGGAUGGCCCCUGUGCGAGGAUGACACACAAAUUCGCAAAGCAUUCCAUAUUUUU
ensembl:snRNA U6 U6 spliceosomal RNA